rnacentral:rRNA from 1 species
AGAGAUUGAACUGAAGAGUUUGAUCCUGGCUCAGAUUGAACGCUGGCGGGAUGCUUUACACAUGCAAGUCGGACGGCAGCACGGGCUUCGGCCUGGUGGCGAGUGGCGAACGGGUGAGUAAUGUAUCGGAACGUGCCAGUAGCGGGGGAUAACUACGCGAAAGCGUGGCUAAUACCGCAUACGCCCUACGGGGGGAAAGCGGGGACCUUCGGGCCUCGCACUAUUGGAGCGGCCGAUAUCGGAUUAGCUAGUUGGUGGGGUAACGGCCUACCAAGGCGACGAUCCGUAGCUGGUUUGAGAGGACGACCAGCCACACUGGGACUGAGACACGGCCCAGACUCCUACGGGAGGCAGCAGUGGGGAAUUUUGGACAAUGGGGGCAACCCUGAUCCAGCCAUCCCGCGUGUGCGAUGAAGGCCUUCGGGUUGUAAAGCACUUUUGGCAGGAAAGAAACGGCACGGGCUAAUAUCCUGUGCAACUGACGGUACCUGCAGAAUAAGCACCGGCUAACUACGUGCCAGCAGCCGCGGUAAUACGUAGGGUGCAAGCGUUAAUCGGAAUUACUGGGCGUAAAGCGUGCGCAGGCGGUUCGGAAAGAAAGAUGUGAAAUCCCAGGGCUUAACCUUGGAACUGCAUUUUUAACUACCGGGCUAGAGUGUGUCAGAGGGAGGUGGAAUUCCGCGUGUAGCAGUGAAAUGCGUAGAUAUGCGGAGGAACACCGAUGGCGAAGGCAGCCUCCUGGGAUAACACUGACGCUCAUGCACGAAAGUGUGGGGAGCAAACAGGAUUAGAUACCCUGGUAGUCCACGCGCCCUAAACGAUGUCAACUAGCUGUUGGGGCCUUCGGGCCUUGGUAGCGCAGCUAACGCGUGAAGUUGACCGCCUGGGGAGUACGGUCGCAAGAUUAAAACUCAAAGGAAUUGACGGGGACCCGCACAAGCGGUGGAUGAUGUGGAUUAAUUCGAUGCAACGCGAAAAACCUUACCUACCCUUGACAUGUCUGGAAUCCCGAAGAGAUUUGGGAGUGCUCGCAAGAGAACCGGAACACAGGUGCUGCAUGGCUGUCGUCAGCUCGUGUCGUGAGAUGUUGGGUUAAGUCCCGCAACGAGCGCAACCCUUGUCAUUAGUUGCUACGAAAGGGCACUCUAAUGAGACUGCCGGUGACAAACCGGAGGAAGGUGGGGAUGACGUCAAGUCCUCAUGGCCCUUAUGGGUAGGGCUUCACACGUCAUACAAUGGUCGGGACAGAGGGUUGCCAACCCGCGAGGGGAGCCAAUCCCAGAAACCCGGUCGUAGUCCGGAUCGCAGUCUGCAACUCGACUGCGUGAAGUCGGAAUCGCUAGUAAUCGCGGAUCAGCAUGUCGCGGUGAAUACGUUCCCGGGUCUUGUACACACCGCCCGUCACACCAUGGGAGUGGGUUUUACCAGAAGUAGUUAGCCUAACCGCAAAGGGGGCGAUUACCACGGUAGGAUUCAUGACUGGGGUGAAGUCGUAACAAGGUAGCCGUAUCGGAAGGUGCGGCUGGAUCACCUCCUUUAAGA